rnacentral:lncRNA from 1 species
GGGGAUCAAAGACAAAAGAUGAUGCUGAAAAUGCAACACCGAACUGGGGAACAAAACCAGCUCAAAAUGAUUCUGUUGUCAUAGAAAACGGCGAGCCUUCUUCUGACGUUUGGGGACCCAAAGCUGUUUCAGACAAACCUUGGGGUAAAAAGAACUCUGAAACUGAGCCAGCUCCUGCUGCAUGGGGUAAAACGAACUCUGAAAGUGAAUCAGCUGCUGCUGCUUGGGGCUCUACUAACAAAAAGAACACGGGAACUGAAUCAGACGCUGCUGGUUGGGGCUCUACUAACAAAAAGAACCCGGAAACUGAAUCAGAUGCUGGUGCUUGGGGUUCUGGGGCCAAAAACAAAGAAACAGAACCAGCUCCUGCUGCAUGGGGUUCCUGGGGCAAAAAGAGCUCAGAAGCUGUAUCAGGUGGUGCGGAUUGGGGUAAUAGGGGCAAACGGGUUUCUGAAACUGAAUCAGGUGCUGGUGGUUGGGCUUCCCGGAACCCGAGCUUGGAAACUCAGUCAGGUGGUGCUACUUGGGGUUCCAGGGAUAAAUCUAAAUUUGAAACUGAAUCAGGUGGUGCUGCUUGGGGCUCGCAGGCUAAAAAUAAUUUUGAGAGUGAGUCAGGCUCGGGUGCUGCUGCUUGGGGUAAGAAGAAACCAGAAACUGAAUCAGGUGGUGCUGCUUGGGGUUCUCAGGCUAAAAACAAAUCUGAGAUUGAGUCAGGCUCAGGUGCCGCUGCUUGGGGUACUUGGGACAAGAAGAAAUCAGAAACCGAAUCAGGUGGUGGUGCUUGGGGUUCUCAGGCUAAAAAGAACUCUGAAACUGAGUCAGGCGCAUGUGCUUCUACUUGGGGUGCUUGGGACAAGAAGAAACCAGAAACUGAAUCAGGUGGUGAUGGUGCUGCUUGGGGUUCUCAGGCCAAAAAUAAUUCUGAAACUGAGUCAGGCUCAGGUGCUGCUGCUUGGGGUAAGAAGAAACCAGAAACUGAAUCAGGUGGUGGUGCUGCUUGGGGUUCUCAGGCCAAAAAGAACUCUGAAAGUCAAUUAGGUGCUGCUAAUUGGGGUUCUAAGGACACAAACAAUUCGGAAAAUGGAUCAGAUUCUGCUGCUUGGGGUAAAAAGAAGAAUUCAGAAGCUGAACCAACUUCUGUUGCUUGGUGAGAGUUAGCGUCCACAACAUUGGAUAUCUACAAGAGUUGGUGGACAACAAGAUGUGCUUAAGCUAUACCCAAGGUUCUACUACCUAUUCUCUGAGGGACGGUUCCAAGGGGCAUACAGUCCUUAAACCCGGGCAGAUUGUGCAUCGCAGGGUCAUGGAUGGAGAUGUUGUGUUUAUCAACCGUCCUCCCACAACACAUAAGCAUUCUCUGCAAGCACUUCGAGUGUAUGUUCAUGAAGACAACACGGUGAAGAUCAAUCCCCUGAUGUGUAGCCCUCUCAGUGCUGAUUUUGAUGGUGAUUGUGUCCAUCUGUUCUACCCCCAGUCUCUCACAGCUAAGGCAGAGGUACUGGAGCUCUUUUCAGUGGAUAAGCAACUUCGCAGCUCACAUACUGGGCAGCUGAUUCUGCAGCUGGGUUUGGAUUCUUUGCUGUCUCUGAGGGUUAUGAUGGAGCAGGUGUUUUUGGACAAAGCAUCUGCUCAACAGUUAGCUAUGUAUGGCUCUCGAUCUCUCCCACCACCAGCUGUAGUGAAGUCCAGUAAAUCUGGCCCGGCUUGGACAUUUUUCCAGAUAUUGCAGCUUGCCUUUCCUGAGCGUCUUAGUUGCAGAGGGGACGGGUUCAUAGUUGGUGGAAGUGAUUUGCUGUCCUUUGAUUUUGGGGUUGAUGCGUUGGCGUCUAUAAUCAAUGGAAUUGUAACCGCAAUCAUGGUGGAGAAGGGUCCAAAGGAAGCACUGGCAUUCUUUGAUUCACUGCAGCCGCUACUGAUGGAACAUCUAGAUCCUCAGGGAUUUAGUUUAAGUCUGGAAGACUUGUCCAUGUCUAGGGAAGACAUGGGAGUUAUUCACAAUCUCAUCGUCCGGGAGAUUUCUCCUAUGGUGUCUAGGUUGAGGUUAUCGUAUGAGGACGAACUCCAACUAGAGAACAGCAUCCAGAAAGUGAAGGAAGUGGCUGCUAAUUUCAUGCUGAAGUCGUAUUCGAUGAGGAACUUGAUUGACAUCAAGAGCAACUCAGCAAUCAACAAGCUGGUGCAGCAGAUUGGCUUCCUGGGUCUUCAGCUUUCAGACAAGAAGAAGUUGUACACGAAGACUCUGGUGGAAGACAUGGCUCAGUUUUAUAAGAAAAAGUAUGUCAGUACUUCUUCCUCUGGAGAUUUUGGAAUUGUGAAGGGCUGCUUUUUUCACGGACUUGAUCCUUAUGAAGAGAUGGCUCAUUCAGUUGCGGCAAGGGAGGUAAUUGUCCGCUCUUCAAGGGGAUUAGCUGAGCCUGGUACACUCUUCAAGAAUCUGAUGGCUGUUCUGCGAGACAUAGUCAUUACCAACGAUGGAACUGUAAGAAAUACAUGCAGUAACUCCAUCGUGCAGUUCAAGUAUGAGCUGAGUUCUGACAAUGAGAAUCAAGGUUUAUUUGAAGCGGGAGACCCUGUUGGAGUAUUGGCAGCAACCGCCAUGUCAAAUCCCGCCUAUAAAGCGGUGCUUGAUUCUUCCCCAAAUAGCAAUUCUUCCUGGGAGCUAAUGAAGGUAAAGUGUUCUUGGUGCUGUCUUCUCAAUAAAGCAUUGUUCUUCUGUAUUGUUGUAUGCUUAUACUGCUUUCUGUUUUUGUUCUUUUCCCAGGAAGUUCUACUCUGCAAAGUCAACUUCCAAAACACUACCAAUGAUCGGCGUGUGAUUCUUUAUCUGAAUGAAUGCCGCUGUGGGAAAAAGUACUGCCAGGAGAAUUCUGCAUACACAGUUAGGAACAAGCUGAAGAAAGUUAGUCUGAAAGAUACUGCAGUGGAGUUUCUAGUCGAGUAAGUACUGGUCUUAGUAAAUUAUGUUGUUCGUUUUAGUGUUUUUUUUUUUGCUUUUACUUAUCCUCUUUGCGUUGGUCUAUGUCUUUACUUGCAUGCAGAUACAGAAAGCAACAAGCGAUUUCAGAAAUUUUUGGAAUGGAUAUAUGCCUACAUGGCCAUAUUCAUCUUAAUAAGGUUUGAAUUCUAAUCUCUGUACUGUUAAAUCUAUCUGGAAGACUCUACCUGCCAUUGAAUCUUUUUAAUUCUUGCUUGUAAUUGGUGUUUUGGUUUACUAGACAUUGUUGGAAGGGUGGAACAUCAGCAUGCAGGACAUACUUCAAAGGUGCGAGGAUGCAAUCAACUCACUAGUCCAAAAGAAGAAGAAGAAAGCUGAGGACUUUAAGAAAAUGAAUUUGUCUGUCAGGUAUGUCCAUGAUAUGCUUUUCCUAUGAACGUCGCCUCUGGUUGAAUUAUUGAUGUUGGUUUCUCGCUUACUAGUUCUUUCUGUCCAUCAUCUUUGUUCUUUGUCUUAUUGUGUAUACUUGUCUAGCUUCUUAAACUUUGUGGUCUGGUUAUGUUUAAUUUCUUCUCGAAUGAACAGUGAAUGCUGCUCUUUCCGAGGUCCAGGCUCGAGCAAAGAUUCUGAUAUGCCGUGCUUGAUGUUUUCCUCCUACAAUGCCACUGAUCCUGAUCUGGAAAGAACUCUGGAUGUUCUCUGCAAUACAAUAUAUCCAGUUCUGCUCGAAACAGUGAUCAAAGGUACUUGAAUAAUGCUUUCAUUAUAACUGUCAGCUACUUUGAUUUAUCGAACGGGGUAGAGUCUUUCUUUUGAAAUCUUUCUAGUAAGAUUCAUUGCCUGACGGAUAAAAGAUUUAAAAUCAUUUUCCUCAACUAGUCUGAAUGAGUUGCCUUACACGUUGUAGUUGUGCUAUCAAGCUUAUGUACAGUAGACUAAUGUUUUUUUAUAAUACUUCUGUCUCUAGGCGAUCCACGGAUUGCCUCAGCAAAUAUAAUCUGGAAUAGUCCAGAAACGACAACCUGGAUCCGGAGUCUUCAUGCAUCCCGCCGAGGAGAAUGGGUAUUGGAUGUCACGGUUGAAAAAUCUGAUGUCAAGCAAAGUGGUGAUGCAUGGAGGGUUGUGAUUGACUCAUGUCUUUCAGUUCUUCAUCUGAUAGACACAAAGCGGUCAAUCCCAUAUUCCAUAAAGCAAGUGCAAGAGCUGCUUGGUUUGUCCUGCGCCUUUGAGCAAGCUGUUCAGGUACUCAAUUACUUUACUCCUGAUCCGUGCACUUAAAGCAUGAUACUUUGUCAUAUUUAACGUAUGGUAUCAUAUGUGCUCAUUGUUUUGCAGCGUCUCUCAGCUUCAGUGAGAAAGGUCUCCAAAGGAGUUCUGAAAGAACAUAUCAUUCUCGUGGCAAACAACAUGACCUGUUCAGGGGAUAUGCUAGGUUUCAAUUCUGGAGGUUACAAGGCUUUGACUCGGUCCUUGAACAUCAAGGCCCCAUUCACAGAAGCAACUCUUAUUGUUAGUAUGCUUUAAUGUCUAAUUACAAAUUAUUUUCUAUACUGGCCAUCCAUACUAACAUUAGUUACUUCUUAUGCUUUUAGGCGCCAAGGAAAUGUUUCGAGAAAGCGGCUGAGAAAUGUCAUAAAGAUUCUCUAUCAACAGUCGUUGGGUCUUGUUCUUGGGGAAAACGCGUGGAUGUUGGUACAGGUUCGCAGUUUGAGCUUCUAUGGAACAAAAAAGAGGUAAGACAUUCUCACCAGAAAUUGAGUUUUGUCUUGUAAAUUUUUUUCGUGCAAUCUGAUGUUCUUUAUUUGUCAACCUAUCUGCAGACUGGUCUGGAGAAUGAUGAUGAAACUGAUGUAUUCAGCUUUCUCCAGAUGGUAAGAUCCACCAAAACUGCAGAUGCAUACGUUUCUUCCCCUGGUUUUGAUGUCACAGAGGAAGAAAUGGCUGAAUGGGCUGAGUCUCCUGAGCGAGACUCUGCUCUUGGAGAGCCCAAGUUUGAUGACAGUGCUGAGUUUCAAAAUCUACUUGAUGAAGGCAAGGCAUCGGAAUCCAAGUGGGACAACGGUUCUCUUUGGGAGAAUGGUUGCAGUAGUGGCUCAGAAUGGGGAGUCUCGAAAAACGCAGGUGGUGAGGAGAACACGCAGUCUGGUUGGGGAAAGGCUGCAAACGUUGAGAAUGAAGAUGCUUCGUCUGGUUGGAACAGUAAAAAAGAUGCUCAAGAAGCUACCAAUACAGAUUCAUGGGGCGCUUGGGGAUCAAAGACCAAAGAUGAUGCUGAAAAUGCAACACCGAACUGGGGAACAAAACCAGCUCAAAAUGAUUCUGUUGUCAUAGAAAACGGUGAGCCUUCUUCUGACGUUUGGGGACCCAAAGCUGUUUCAGACAAACCUUGGGGUAAAAAGAACUCUGAAACUGAGCCAGCUCCUGCUGCAUGGGGUAAAACGAACUCUGAAAGUGAAUCAGCUGCUGCUGCUUGGGGCUCUACUAACAAAAAGAACACGGGAACUGAAUCAGACGCUGCU